UGGGGAAUAUUGCACAAUGGGCGAAAGCCUGAUGCAGCAACGCCGCGUGAGCGAUGAAGGCCUUCGGGUCGUAAAGCUCUGUCCUCAAGGAAGAUAAUGACGGUACUUGAGGAGGAAGCCCGGCUAACUACGUCGCC
rnacentral:rRNA from 1 species